rnacentral:rRNA from 1 species
GUCCGCUGGGGCAGCGGGGCGAAGAUGGAGUGGCCGCAGCGGAGGAGCUGGAGGAGAGGCGGCCUUUGCCGGGCUCGGGCCUCGGCGAGCUGGGGUUGCGGCCGUGGAGGGGGCUUUCUGCGGCGGGGCACGAGCCGAAGGAGUCGGGGCGGCAGCGGCUGGUGGCAGCAGCGGGCCUCGGGGUGAGGAGCGGCCUGUAGGGGCUGGCGGAGGGGCGGUAGGAGAGGCGGCGAGCAGGGGCAGGAGGAGGAGUUGGGAGUGACGGGGCAAGGGAUGCUUAGCACUACGACCUCGGGUCCUCGAACUGCGGUGGCAACUACUACUGAGGAUGAUGUGGCCUCCACGGAUGAUGAUGUACGGACUGCUGCUGGUCCUCAUCAAUCCUCCUAGGGUCCGUCCUCCGGACGCGGAGAAAGCUAGACAUAGGGUCAAACAUGAUCGGAAGAAUUCCGUUUGAAUAAAUUGAAUACAGACAUGAGUCUAUAACAACGAAGGCGACUGAGCAGAUACUACCUCGUGAACAUAAGCUCGGGAGCUCCGGGGACCGAACAUAAUACUACGAACAUACUGAAUAAAAUGAAAAUCUCUACACAACACUAUAGAAGGGCACUCAGGGACUAGAACUAACAUG